rnacentral:rRNA from 1 species
UACGGAGGAGGCAAGCGUUAUCCGGAAUUAUUGGGCGUAAAGCGUCCGCAGGUGGCACUUCAAGUCUGUCGUCAAAGACUGGGGCUUAACCCUGGAAAGGCGGUGGAAACUGAAGCGCUAGAGUGCGGUAGGGGUAGAGGGAAUUCCCGGUGUAGCGGUGAAAUGCGUAGAGAUCGGGAAGAACAUCGGUGGCGAAAGCGCUCUACUGGACCGGCAUUGACGCUGAGGAGCGAAAGCCAGGGGAGCAAACGGG